rnacentral:rRNA from 1 species
GAUGAACGCUAGCGGCAGGCUUAACACAUGCAAGUCGAGGGGCAGCAUACCCGGUGACGGGUGAUGGCGACCGGCGGAAGGGUGAGUAACGCGUGAGCAACAUACCCGUAUCAGUGGGAUAAUACAGGGAAACUUGUUCUAAUAUCACAUAAUAUUAUUCAGAGGCAUCUUUGGAUAAUUAAAGUUCAGGCGGAUACGGAAUGGCUCGCGUGACAUUAGCUAGAUGGUAGGGUAAAGGCCUACCAUGGCUAUGAUGUCUAGGGGUUCUGAGAGGGAGGUCCCCCACACUGGAACUGAGACACGGUCCAGACUCCUACGGGAGGCAGCAGUGAGGAAUAUUGGACAAUGGAUGAAAAUCUGAUCCAGCCAUGCCGCGUGCAGGAAGGCGGCCCUAUGGGUUGUAAACUGCUUUUGUACGGGAGCAAUAAGGUCUACGAGUAGAUUGAUGAGAGUACUGUAACGAAUAAGCAUCGGCUAACUCCG